rnacentral:rRNA from 1 species
CCUAUGGGUUGUAAACUGCUUUUAUNCGGGAAGAAAACUAGUUUCAUGAAAUUGGGUGACGGUACUGUAUGAAUAAGCAUCGGCUAACUCCGUGCCAGCAGCCGCGGUAAUACGGAGGAUGCAGGCGUUAUCCGGAUUUAUUAGGUUUAAAGGGUGCGUAGGCGGGAUUAUAAGUCAGUGGUGAAAGAUUGCCGCUUAACGGUAAAAUUGCCAUAGAUACUGUAGUCCUUGAGUGUAGAUGAGGUUGGCGGAAUGUGUCAAGUAGCGGUGAAAUGCAUAGAUAUGACACAGAACACCGAUUGCGUAGGCAGCUAACUAAGCUACAACUGACGCUGAGGCACGAAAGCGUGGGGAUCAAACAGGAUUAGAUACCCUGGUAGUCCACGCCGUAAACUAUGAUAACUGGUUGUUGGCGAUACACAGUCAGCGACUGAGUGAAAGCAUUAAGUUAUCCACCUGGGGAGUACGACGGCAACGUUGAAACUUAAAUGAAUUGACGG